GUGUCUAUGUACGUGGUAUAUUUUUGGAUGAAAUAUGGUUUUGAACGCGUAUUUGUUUGCAAACUGUCUUAAAAUAGGAAGUUGAAAAAAGAUAAAAUCCAUUUUCUCUUUGUUCUUCAAAAAUCAAAAGAACAAAAAAAAAUCACCACCACCAUCACAAUCGUCAAUGGAAUGACUAUAAUCCUCAAAUCCCACAACUUUACACUAACCUAAACCCUAUUUCGAGCCUUUCG
rnacentral:lncRNA from 1 species